UCUUGAGCACAAGGAUGCAUGAGGCGCUGUGUCCAGGGCUGCCCGUGGACUGUCUCACCUGAUCUUGCCCGCAAGUCUAGGAAGUAGGUCAUCAACACCCUGUUUCACAGGAACUGCGCUCAGACUCCUAACCGCAAAGCUGACUCAACAGCCAACCAGGGUCAAGAAUGGAAGGC